rnacentral:tRNA from 3 species
GGAGAGAUGUCCGAGUGGUCGAAGGUGCACGCUUGGAAAGCGUGUGUGCGCAAGCACCAGGAGUUCGAAUCUCCUUCUCUCCG